UGCCAGCAGCCGCGGUAAUACGUAGGUGGCGAGCGUUGUCCGGAUUUACUGGGCGUAAAGGAUGCGUAGGCGGAUAUUUAAGUGAGAUGUGAAAUACCCGAGCUUAACUUGGGUGCUGCAUUUCAAACUGGAUAUCUAGAGUGCGGGAGAGGAGAAUGGAAUUCCUAGUGUAGCGGUGAAAUGCGUAGAGAUUAGGAAGAACACCAGUGGCGAAGGCGAUUCUCUGGACCGUAACUGACGCUGAGGCAUGAAAGCGUGGGUAGCAAACAGGAUUAGAUA
rnacentral:rRNA from 1 species